rnacentral:lncRNA from 1 species
AGGUCUGAGAAAUAAAGAGAAAGUGUACAAAGAGAGGAAUUUUACAGCUGGGCCUCCGGGGGUGACGUCACCUAUCGCUCCAGCCGGUCCCUCCAUUCGAGGUCCCUGACUUCCUGCAACAGACUGAGAUGGCCUUCUGAGCUUUUCCAGGGCUGACGACCACCUUCUUGAUACCUUCCCCUCUCUCGUUCUGAAUCCGUGCCCACCAGAUGGGGCCGUCUAGUUGCAGGAAAACAAGCUCAGGGCUCCCACUGAUUCUACAUGAUGGGAAUCCAGGCUUUCGGAGAUGAGGACUGGGAGGUCUCCAGACCACACAAGCCCCCUAUUUGCACUGGCCUUUGGAAUGAGCCUACAGCCUGCCUCCACUCCUCCUGGUACCCCAGCUGUUCUCAAGGAAUUGGCCAGAAGUCAGACUCCUUUCCCAGCUGUCCUCCACUUCUUUCCUGCCAGGCACCCUAGGCCCCAUGGUGGGAUUGGGCCUAUAGGCUGUGAUUUUCCACAUCCUUGUCAAACCUGUACUACCUGAAUGCCUAGAGGAAAAGAUACUGCCUUAAUUACUAUUAUGAGCACGAAUGCCUUCUUACUCUUGAAUUUAGCUGAGUGCUGCCUGCAGGUAAAGUCACCUGGAGAACCAUCCAGGGACUUUGUCCUCAUAGGAUCACUUGUACCUCUCUAGGGUUGCUGUGGCAGCUGCCAGAGUGGCCCGGGCCAUGGAUGAGGGCCAGGAUAUGGAAAGCAGAGGCAGAAAUGAGCCCAGAGGCCACAGGGCCCAGCUCUCAGGCUCCCACGGUGAAGCCCAGAGGGUUCCUUCUCUCUCCUGCUUCAGGCUGACAAUGUUUGUCAGCCUCUGCUCCCAACCCCUAUACCCAGCAACCUCUGCGCCCAAGCACAUGGUCUGAAGAAUAUUCUGGUGUUGGGCCCCUGUAGGUGGCCUGCCGUGACGGUGGAAGCCUGGAACGUAGUGACAUGGAUUCAUCAUUGGGAUGUUUCAUCCUAAGGAAACGCACUCGCAGGUGGCUGUAGACCUUGGGGACUCCAGCCUCGUUCAUUUAAGCUCCCACAAUGUUCCAGGCCCUAUGCGGCUUGCAAGGGGCAGAGAGACACAGAAUGACAGCCGACAUGGCACUCUAUUGGUGCACUGGCACUGUUUUUUUUUUUGAGAUGGAGUCUUGCUCUGUCACCCAGGCUGGAGU